UGGUUAAUGAUUUGCAAAACCUGUUAUUUAACAAUUUAGGUUGAGAAACAGGAAAAAAUAGAUACAAGAAAAAGCAUAUUCACAAACAGGAAGAAAUCUGUUUAAAAUAAGAAUGGUUAAUUGGUUUGUCUAUUUGUCACUUCUCUCUCUUGUCUUUCUUGGAAAUACUCCUGUUUCACAUUCGAAGAUUACAUCAUCAUGGUUCAGUCAACAACCUGGUUCUGUUGAUGACUAUGACGAUGAAUACAGCACUGAUUAUAUAGAGCCAGCGGAGGCUGAAAUCAGAUUUAGUUUCUUUGACUCUGAUUGGAUUUAUGAAUUCUUCACUCAUGAUGGUACUUCAUUAUACUCAUUAUAAGAUGGACAAUCAGAAUAUGGGAAGUGAAAGAUAGGAA
rnacentral:lncRNA from 1 species